rnacentral:rRNA from 1 species
AUUGAACGCUGGCGGCAGGCCUAACACAUGCAAGUCGAACGAGUGGCGGACGGGUGAGUCAUGUCUGGGAACCUGCCCGAUGGAGGGGGAUAACUACUGGAAACGGUUGCUAAUACCGCAUACCAUCGGAUGUGCCCCGAUGGGAUUAGCUAGUAGGUGGGGUAACGGCUAACCUAGGCGACGAUCCCUAGCUGGUCUGAGAGGAUGACCGGCCACACUGGAACGUAGACACGGUCCAGACUCCUACGGGAGGCAGCAGUGGGGAAUAGUGCACAAUGGGCGAAAGCCUGAUGCAGCCAUGCAGCGUGUAUGAAGAAGGCCUUCGGGUGGUAAAGUACUUUCAGCGGGGAGGCGUUACUCGCAGAAGAAGCACCGGCUAACUCCGUGCCAGCAGCCGCGGUAAUUC